CGCUAAUGUACCCCGGACUCUGGGAUAGCUGCCCGAAAGGGCAGGUAAUACCAGAUGACAUCACCGCUCCGCAUGGAGUGGUGCUCAAAGGUCCGCCGGUCUGGGCGCAGGCGAUUUCGUAUCAGCUAGUUGGUGCGGGUAACGGCCCACCAAGGCGACGACGCGUAGCCGGACUGAGAGGUUGGCCGGCCACAUUGGGACUGAGACACUGCCCAG
rnacentral:rRNA from 1 species